rnacentral:tRNA from 1 species
GUGAUGGCUCAGUGGUUAAGGGCACUGGCUCCUCUUCCAGAGGGCCUGGGGUUCGAUUCCCAGUAUACACA